AAUUAAUGAACUUGAAUAAGUAUAUGUUUUGAAAACAUAAUAAAGAAGUUUAAACUUCUAUUAAUUU
rnacentral:tRNA from 1 species